rnacentral:lncRNA from 1 species
ACCAAGUGUUUAUCGAAGAGCUUUGCAAACUGGGAGGAGAUUCACUUAACAUUAAUCAAAGAACAAACCGGCUAUAAAUAAGCCUUACAUAACAAAAAGAUAAAAGUGCAACCCACGUUAAACACUAACCUAAACGUGGUAUAUGACUAAGUCUGAAAAUAAACCAACUUCUACUGAUCCCUAGAAACUAGGGCUUAUUUGGCCAUGCAGUUACAACUGCUUACAUAAACUAACCUAGGUUUACGUAGUGGAUAGAACCACUACUUUCAACAAACCUAAUAAUCUAACAUCCUCCCUUAAACUGAUUGCUAAGCAAUCAGUUUACACCUGGUUCCAGACACUCCCAUAAGCUCACGCAUCCUCAGAAAAGCAUCAGUCUUCAAGGGCUUGGUUAAUAUGUCUGCUAUUUGCUCUUGAGUGCUGCAAUGGACCAGCUGCACAAUUUCAUCCUUAGUCAAGUCACGAAGAAAGUGGAAACGUACAUCUAUGUGUUUGCUUCAACCAUGCAUUACAGGAUUCUUGGAAAGCUUUAUUGCUGAGCUAUUAUCACAGAAAAUCGUUGUAGAGGCUUGCUGAGCUUGACCUAAUUCCUUCACUAUUCUUCUCAACCAGGUUGCCUGACACGCACAUGAAGCUGCUGCUAUGAAUUCGGCUUCAGUUGUUGAUAACGUAAUCACAGGUUGCUUCUUAGAAGACCAACACACAGCUCCUGAACCUAGCAUGAACAAAUACCCCGAUGUGCUCUUUCUAUCAUCUAAAUCACCUGCAUAAUCACUAUCUGAGUAGCCUCUGAGCUCAACAUGUCCUCCCUUCUUGUACAGAAUUCCAAGACUGAUUGUGCCUUUUAAAUACCUCAAAACCCUUUUUGCUGCUGCCAAAUGCAUCUCUGUUGGACACUCCAUAAAUCUGCUAAUUAAGCUUACCACAAACAUAGUGCCAGGCCGAGUGGCUGUGAGAUACAUAAGGCUCCCCACGAUUUGUUUAUAGAAAGUAUUGUCGACCUUCUCCCCAGUCACAUCCUUUGUUAGCUUGGUACCUGGAACAAUAGGAUUGUGCACUGGAUUGCAACCUCCCAUGUGAAAUCUUUCCAACUUCCUGAGCAUAUUUUUUUUGGUAGAUAAAUAUUCCAUCUACCUGCUGCAAUACUUCAAUUCCAAGGAAGUACCUUAUCUUACCAAGAUCGGUCAUUUCAAACUCAUUCAUCACCGACUGCUUAAACUUAGUGAUCAUGCAUUCAUCAUUGCCAGUAUAAAUGAGAUCAUCAACAUAAAGACAAACAAUGAGAAUUUUACCUCCAUCUCCAGUUUUGAUGAACAAAGUGUGUUCAUAGGGACAUUUCACAAACUCUUCCUUCAAGAAAUAAGCUUCUAUACGACUAUACCAAGCACGAGGGGCUUGUUUAAGUCCAUAUAAAGCUUUUCUUAAUUUGUAAACUUUAUGCUCCUUAUCUCUCUGCACAUACCCAGGUGGCUGUUCUACAAACACUUCUUCAUUGAUUUCUCCAUGUAAGAAGGCACUUUUCACGUCCAAUUGAUAAAUUGUCCAUUCCCUUUGCGCAGCAAGUGCAAUUAUAACCCGAAUGGUAUCUAACCUAGCCACAGGAGCAAAUACUUCAGCAUAAUCAACUCCAUAUUCUUGAGCAUACCCUUUAGCCACCAGCCGAGCUUUGUACUUGUCCACCUCUCCAUUCUCAUUCAGUUUAGUCUUGUAAACCCAUUUGACUCCGAUCAUCUUCCCACCUUGAGGUAAAUCUGUCAAUUCCCAAGUCUUGUUCUUCUCAAUAGCUGCUAUUUCGACAUCCAUAGCUUUCCUCCAUUUAGCACUUUUCACAGCUUCUUUGUAAUGCAUUGGAUCACUGUCUGCUAAAAGAGCCAAGUGCACCAUAUCUUCUUCUUCAGACAAUCCCUCUCCCGUUACGUAAUCUCUCAUCCACACCGGCGGAGCCCUAGGUCUUCUUUCUUCUAGACUGGAUGAACUUGCUUCUGAGACUUCAUCUGAUCCACUAUUGUUGCUUGUGUCAUUUCCAUUUUCACCGGAUCCGUCUUCAUCUUCUCCCUGACUAUCAGCUCCAUCAGCUUCAAUUGAUCUAUCUUCAUAAUCAUCCCAUUCCAAAUCUGCUAUGACAGCCUCAUGGUGAUGCUCAUCCCAAGCCCAGCUACUAUUCUCAAAUCUAACAUCACGACUAAUUAUGAUCCUCUGCGAAACCGGAUCAAAUAGCCGAUAUGCCUUCGAUCCUUCACUGACUCCAAGUAGUACACACUUCAUACUUUUAUCAUCUAGCUUGAUCCUCUUGUUGUCUGGAAUAUGUACGUAUGAAAUGCACCCAAAAACCCUGAAAUAACUUACUGAUGGUAUCGUACCACUCCAUGCCUCCUCGGGUGUUUUGUUUUUUACUGCAAAUGUGGGACUCCUGUUGAGCACAUGAACUGUCCAGUUUGCUGCUUCAGGCCAAAAAGUCUUUGGCAUCUUCUUCUCGGUUAGUAAGCUUCGAACCAUGUUCACCAGGACCAGAUGGCUUCUCUAUGCAAAUGUUCCAACAUUGCUGGGAUAUUUUGAAGGAAGAUAUAAUGAAGAUCAUGGAGGAAUUCUUUGAGAAAGGGAUAAUAAAUGCAGUGACGAACGAAACAUUCAUUUGCCUAAUCCCAAAGAAGUCAGAUUCUUUGAAGGUGACGGACUAUAGGCCCAUCAGCUUAGUAACUGGAUUGUAUAAAAUCAUAGCGAAAACACUGGCUUCAAGAUUGAAGGAGGUUUUGGUUACCACUGUCUCCCCACAUCAGGGGGCGUUUGUUAAGGAUCGACAAAUUUUGGAUGCAGUCCUCAUUGCAAAUGAAGUGGUAGAAGAGAUAAGGCAGAAAAAAGAGAAGGGAUUGGUGCUCAAGAUCGACUUUGAAAAAGCGUAUGAUCAUGUUGAAUGGAGAUUUCUGGAAGAAGUACUACAAAGAAAAGGUUUUGGCAAUAGAUGGAGGAAAUGGAUUCAAGGAUGUUUAUGCUCUGCAAAUUUUUCUGUUUUGAUCAAUGGGAGGCCUAGGGGAAAAUUUCAAGCUUCAAGAGGACUAAGACAAGGUGACCCACUAUCACCCUUUCUCUUCACCUUAGUAGUCGAUGUUUUGAGCAGGUUAAUGGAGAAGGCUCAAGAAAAUGAUCUCAUCAAAGGUUUGUGUAUCGGGCAAGAAAAGGUGGAGAUCUCUCAUCUUCAAUUUGCAGACGACACCAUAUUCUUUUUGACGGAAGAUGAGGAAGUUUGGAACAACCUAUUACAAGUGCUCAACUUAUUCUGUUCGGUCUCAGGACUGAAAAUCAACAAAGCGAAGUGCUUUUUGGCAGGAAUAAAUUCAGAAAGUGAGAAAUUAAACAGGAUGGCAGAUUCUUGGGGUUGCGAGGUAGGAUGUUGGCCUAUAAAGUAUCUGGGACUUCACCUUGGGGGAAGGCCAAAAGCUAUAAGGUUUUGGGAUCCAGUGGUAGAAACAAUGGAAAGAAGACUUCAAAGUUGGAAGAAGGCUUUCCUAUCCAGAGGAGGUAGAUUAACUCUAAUUCAAUCAGUCUUGGGAAGUUUGCCGAUUUACUAUAUGUCAUUGUUCAAAAUUUCCCUGUGGGGUAAGAAGACAUCUAGAAAAAUUAAUGAAAGGGUUUCUCUGGGAAGGCGUGGAGGAAGGUAAGAAAACCCAUUUGGUCAAAAUGGGAGUUAGUUACUAAAAACAAGGAGGAAGGAGGUCUAGGGGUGGGGAAUUUGAGGAAUCAGAACGAAGCACUAUUGGCUAAGUGGUUGUGGAGAUUCCCAAGGGAGUCUCAUUCCUUAUGGCACAAGGUGAUAAGAAGCAAGUAUGGGCUACAAGUUAAUGGAUGGAAUGUACUUCCUCCAAGGAGGGUUUCAAGUCGUAGCCCAUGGAAAGACAUUUCGAGUGGUGCUCAUCAGUUUCUUAGUUGUUGCAAGUUUGAGGUGGGCAAUGGAGAGAGGGUUAGGUUUUGGGAGGAUGGGUGGUUAGUAGGGGGACCGCUGAAGGAGCAAUUCCCCAGAUUAUUCUUAUUAUCGAGGAAGCAUAAUCAUAACAUAUCUAGCUUUGUGGAAGCUUCGUCAAGUUCCUUGAGUUGGAACUUUGAUUUUAGGAGAAAUUUGAAUGAGAUGGAGAUAGAAGAGGCGGCCAGCUUAUUACAGAAAGUGGAAGUGGUUCGCUUGUCUCCAUCAAAAAUGGAUAACAGAAGGUGGAACCUAGAAACUUCAGGUUUGUUCACAUGCAAAUCCUAUCGGUCAUUACUAAGCAACAAUGGGAUUGUGCACUAUUAUCCACCCUACUCUCAGAUUUGGAAAUCAAAAGUUCCUCCGAAGGUUAAAAUACUUGUAUGGCUUGUGGCCAAUGGGAGUCUCAACACUUGCGACAAAAUUCAAAGGAGAAACCCUAUGAUGUGUUUAUCCCCACAUUGGUGUAGUUUAUGUAAAGCUAAGGAGGAGAGUGUAAAUCACAUGUUUCUUCAUUGCUCCUACUCGAUACAACUGUGGUGGAAACUGUUUCAGGAGGUUAAAGUAAGUUGGGUCAUUCCUAAAGGGUGUUUUGAGCUACUAAGCACCAAUUUCAAGGCACUUGGAAAAGGGAAAAAAUCCAAAGCUUUGUGGGGUUGCCUGGUAUCGGCAAUUUUCUGGAAUAUAUGGCUGGAACGCAACAAAAGGAUUUUUGAAGACUAUACUGGAGUGGGGGCAGAAGUACUUUGGGGGAGAGUUAAAUAUUGGGCAUCUUUUUGGGCUUCGGUUACUAAAGAGUUUAAUAAUUGCUCUCUAUCUCAAAUACUGUGGGAUUUGUUAGCAGCAGUUAAGUGAGCUUGGUCUAGAAUUGGCUACUGUAGCCAAUUCCUAUUAGGAUUUUCCUUUCUAAUUUGUUGGUGGACUUCUUAUCCACUUCUGUGUUUUUCUCUUUUCUUUAAUAAAAUUGUUUCUUCUAAAAAAAAAAAAAAAAAAAAAAAAAAAAAAAAAAAAAAAAAAAAUGUUCAUUAUGGUCCGAUUCUUACGCUUAGCUACUCCGUUUUGCUGCGGGGUGUAGGCUGCUGUCAGUUGUCGUUGAAUCCCAUUCUCAACACAAAACUCAACAAACUCGUGAGAUGUAAACUCCCCUCCACGAUCCGUGCGCAAACUUUUAAUACUUGCAUCAGUUUCUUUCUCCACAAGACUUUGGAAAGCUUUAAAGGUUCGAAAGGCUUCUGACUUUUCUAUUAAAAAAUAGAUCCAAGUCUUACGACUAAAAUCAUCAAUAAAGGUGAGUAGAUACCUCUUCUUACUAUUGGAUGUAGGCUUUAUCGGUCCACAUAUAUCUGCAUGAACGAGUUGUAGAAUUUGACAAGCCCUCCAAGUACUUUUUUUUUGGAAAAGGAUCUCUUGAUUGCUUACCUACCAAGCAGUUCUCGCACUCUUGACGAGUCCUUUAUCUGAGGUAGUCCACUCACCAUUUGCUUCUGUUGUAGAGUCUUUAAGCCACCAAGACUCAAGUGCCCAUAUCGACAAUGCCACAACUGAACUGGAUCAUCUGUGAGAACAUUGAAACAUGCCUGGACAUUGAGUUGAUACUAAGCAACAAGAAUGAACAUGCGGUUUGCAGCCAUAACAGUCUCCAUGAUCAGUCCUCUUUUAGGGUGAUAGAUCUUGCACCUCCCGUGUUGAAUGAGAAUAGCAAGACCUUUCUCCUGAAGUUGACCAAUGCUUAGAAGAUUGUUCUUUAAAGCAGGAACAUAGAAAACCCCCGUGACCACCUGAGUCAUUCCAUUCACUUGUAGUCGAAUGUUUCCUUUCCCCAAAACAUCCAUUCUAGUAUUGUUCCCUAGUUUCACAGUUUCUCUAAAACUUCCAUCAAAAUCAGAAAAUAACUCUCUCUUACCACACACAUGGUUGCUGCAACCCGAGUCGAGGAACCAAAUGUCUUCUUUGAUCUCCUGAGUGUCCAUGUACGCCAUUAGCAACAUCUCUUCACUAGCUUCUGCAUAGUUGGCCUUUGCUUCCUUGUCUUUCUUAGGACACUCAUACUGAUAGUGCCCUAAUUCAUGACAAUUAUAGCACUCAAUCGUUGACUUGUCGAAAUUUUGUCGGCCUCUUCCUCUACCUCUUCCACGAUAGCUUCCUCGGCCACGUCCUCUUCCUCCAAAGUUGUCUUCAUAGGCUACUUUUAGUGCUUGCUCCUCCACAACAUGUCCAAUCAUCCGCUGCUCAUGUACUAGCAAACUACUUUGCAGUUCAUCAAUUGAGAGAAUGUCUAAAUCUUUAGAUUCCUCAAUUGAACAAACCACAUAGUCAUAUUUAGGAGUCAUCGAUCUCAAGAUCUUCUCAAUGACUUCUACAUCUGUCAAUUUGUCACCAUUGAUCCUUCUCUUGUUGGCUAUGGUCAGAGUUCGACCAAAAAACUCAUUCACAGUUUCUCUUGUCUUCAUGUGAAGCAUCUCAAACUCUUUUCGAAGUGCCUGCAACUGUGCUCGCUUGACUCGAGCAGUCCCUUGAUACUUCUGCUUCAACGAAUCCCAAAUUUCCUUAGCCGUAUCCUUGUUCAAGAUUGUUUUCAAGACAGCUCGAUCAAUUGCUUGAAACAAGUAGUUCUUAGCCUUCAGAUCUUUCAACUUUUGAUCUUCGAGCACCUUCCGUUGCCCCUCCGUGGCUCCUUCUGCUGCUGCAGAGAUUCCAUGCUCCACAAUACUCCAAUAUUCCUUUGAACGUAGGAAGUUUUCCAUAAGCAUCACCCAGUGGUCAUAAUGCCCAUCCAGUUUUGGAAUGGAUGCUUGCACAAAGCCACUUCCUUCUCCUGCCAUAUUCUCGUAUCUCUUCACUCAAAAGAUUGCUAUCUCUCAAGCUUCGAUCAAGAGCCCCAGGUUGGGGCUCUGAUACCAAAUGUUAGAACCAAGUGUUUAUCGAAUAAGAGCUUUGCAAACUGGGAGGAGAUUCACUUAACAUUAAUCAAAGAACAAACCGGCUAUAAAUAAGCCUUACAUAACAGAAAGAUAAAAGUGCAACCCACGUUAAACACUAACCUAAACGUGGUAUAUGACUAAGUCUGAAAAUAAACCAACUUCUACUGAUCCCUAGAAACUAGGGCUUAUUUGGCCAUGCAGUUACAACUGCUUACAUAAACUAACCUAGGUUUACGUAGUGGAUAGAACCACUACUUUCAACAAACCUAAUAAUCUAACUAUGUUGCCUCAAAAAUCUCAUUUUCUCUUGUUACAGAGGCACACUUAUGAGUCAUGGUUUGCUUUUACCAUUCGGGAUUGUUGGAUGCACAUCUUCUGUUUUCUGGAAAAUACUAUUGUUGUUAUUGUUACCAUUCGUCUUUAUAGUUAUUACUGUUAGGAACAAUUGCUCUGUUUGGGGAAAUGUAAAAUAGCAGAUAUGGUAGAAGUACACACAAUAAGUCGUUAAGAUAGUAGUAAAUCAUUACGGUAAGUAUGUAUUAUUCAUCUACAAAGAGUGCUGGUGCUGGAAGACCUAGAUAUUGGGGGCAGCGAGCAUCUAAGACCUAGACAUAGCAUUGCUCGG